rnacentral:lncRNA from 1 species
UUUGCACACACCAUCAAACUACUCAUGUUAAGUCUAGAAAACGAUAAAGUGUACCUUGAAAUGCCGACACUAAUUCUUAUCAUCACCACUCGAAGUGUCCUAUGCUUCUUUCUUUGCGAACAUUUCUUGGUUGCUUAAAGCUUGACUUAAGAGUAAGAACAAUUAAACAAAAAAAAUGUCGGUGAACCAAAUUGAUUAUAACACACUUAAAUCUCAAAGAAUAUUCAUGCAAUUAUCAAAACAACUAACAAACCAAAGUUUUGGUGAACUAGAGCCACCCAAAAGUACAGUCAAAAUUUUACAAAAGAAAAAAUAAUACAAAGAAAACUCAAAAUAAAAAAAAACUCCUCAAAU